rnacentral:tRNA from 1 species
GCCCUGGUGGCACAACGGUUAAGCACUCAGCUGCUAACUGAAAGGCUGGCGAUUCGAACCCGUCCAGUGGCU